rnacentral:rRNA from 1 species
CCUACGGGAGGCAGCAGUGGGGAAUCUUGCACAAUGGGGGAAACCCUGAUGCAGCGACGCCGCGUGAGUGAAGAAGUAUCUCGGUACGUAAAGCUCUAUCAGCAGGGAAGAAAAUGACGGUACCUGACUAAGAAGCCCCGGCUAACUACGUGCCAGCAGCCGCGGUAAUACGGAGGGGGCAAGCGUUAUCCGGAUUUACUGGGGGUAAAGGGAGCGUAGAUGGCAGCACAAGUCUGGAGUGAAAUCCCGGGGCUUAACCCCAGAACUGCUUUGGAUACUGGGCGACUGGAGUGCAGGAGGGGUAAGCGGAAGUCCUAGUGUAGCGGUGAAAUGCGUAGAUAUUAGGAAGAACACAGGUGGCGAAGGCGGCUUACUGGACUGUAACUGACGUUGAGGCUCGAAAGCGUGGGGAGCAAACAGGAUUAGAUACCCCUGUAGUC